AGGCUCCAGGCUCCGAGCCAUCAGCCCAGAGCCUGAUGCGGGGCUCGAACUCACGGACCGCGAGAUUGUGACCUGGCUGAAGUCGGACGCUUAACCGACUAUGCCACCCAGGCGCCCCGUGCAGACCCCUAACUUUUAGAUGGGGCAACAGAGGCUCAGAGAGGCCCCGAGGGCCACACCUGGUGCUGUUUCGUGGUCUUUAAGCAGUGACGUUCUCCACCACGUGCAUGCACAAGACUUUCUAUGUUCUGGAGAGACUGAAGAGGGGAGUUCCCAGAGCAGUGCAUGGACCAUGGUAGAUACUCAGCGAGAGUGUGUCUCAAGAGUGAAGAGUUCUUGGUGCUGUGGGGGGAGCUGGAGAAAUCAGAGCAACAGAAGACUGUUCUAAUCUCUUCAUAGCUCUGAACAACGGUCUGGUCCAAACGUCUGGUCUUCACAGCUAUCCUGAGACCGAUGCUGUUCUUUCUCACCCUUCUUUUUGCAGACUGAGAAACUGAGGCAGAGAGGUUUCAGGUCACAUAAGAACGUGAACUUGUGGAGGGCAGGGCCCUGCAUCACGGAUCUCUGCCCAACUCAGCCCUGGCUCAAGAAAAGUGAGAAAGACCAGGUUCCCCACUGCGGGUCCCGCCCCUCAGAUGCUACAGACACAGAGUCGGCUUGCUCCCCGUAGAAUAUGGUUCUGGAGACCCACAGCAUUGCAAAGGCAGAGAAACCGGCGAUCAUUGCCACUGCUGGGCCUUAGACCAUGCCUCUGACUCAAAGGAAGUGCCCUUGGGGGUGAAGAGCCCCAGGUUUGGUGUGGCACCAGAAGCUUCGGUUGCUCUUUCUGACCUCAUUUUUCCUGUGCUGCACUGGCCCUUGGAGAUGACCCACUGCUGGGUCUUUCAAUGCUGAGGGAGGUGCCUGGCCUCCCACGUGGGCUGCGACCACGCUCACAUAUCAGGUGCCCCUCUCGGUGCUGACUGGGAACCCUCCUCGUGAGCCCUUCAGUGUGGCUCAGACCAGCCUUUGCAUGAAUCCAUUCUGCUUCCUAACUUGGCUGCUACCUGUCAUGUCUCUCCAUAAGCCCAGAUGCCACUGAGUGGCUUGAGACCACAUGCAGCGCAGCCGGGCACCCCCUGCAUCUGUCUCCCAGGCUCCCGGCCUCCACAGAGAACCUAAGUGCCGUGCAAAGCCCACUUUCCAAACAACCGCCAGUCUGGAAUUGGGUGCCACAGCUCACAGCAAUAGAGCAGGUCAGAUCCCUACCCCUUCAAGUAACAGCUGGAGGGAACAACUGUGAAAUCCCCAUCCCUGGGUGCUCUGUUAGAGAAAUUAGGUCACACCUGUGAUAAGGUGCGAUAUGGCCCAUAAAAAAGAAAGUGAAACCCUCUCUUUUAGCCAUAUUGCUGAGUAAAAGCAGAAUGGAAGAGAACCAUGGUAUAUAUGUGAAAACAAAAGACUAGGCAUCUAUUUUCCUUUAUAAUGGAUGUAUUUCCUUAGCUCAGUAUUUCUCGUCAAGGGAAUCUGAUGGAAGGCACUGGAAGUUGGCAAACCUUUUCUGUGAAGGACCAGAUGGUAAAUAUUCUGGGCUUCACGGGCCGGAGGUCUCCAUCGCAGCUCCUUGGGUCUGCUGCUGCAGCCGGAAAGCCGUCGACAAAACGUACAUGGGCAGUGGCUGCAGCCCCAGUGGCACACAGACUUGAAAAGACUUGGCAGAGAAAACCCUUCCAAAAGUCCCUCCAGAGAUGUCCCUCUAGAUCCCUUUGGCCGAGACUAUUCUACAUGGCCUGUAGACCAUGUAGACCGAGACUAUUCUACAGUGGCUUCUGUGACCGCUUCAUGCAGGACUUCCCGAUGAGCUGGGACAGCCUCCUUGUUGUUGCAAACAAAGAUGGGGCCAGCUGGGGCCGCUAGGGCUGGCAAAGAAGUGGGGUGAGUCAACUACACCCCAAACCCUCUUUUCUCUCUUGAUGACUCCCGGCUGGGCCCGGUGUGAACGGCUGAAGCCAUCUGGUUGGUGGCUGUCUUUAAGGGUCACUGGUGGAGGGGGCAGGACCCCUGAAAACGUUUUCUGGGUUUUGGUUUUGGGUGACUGGCCAUUCUCCUGUGGUAAAGCUCCCAGCAUCUCCCUGCUCUCUGAAUCUGCUAGCAAACCACACACACCCUCUGUUUCUGUGCAAUGGACUUGCUGUCCUAACCUCGCGGUUACCAGGUUAGUUCAGCUUCGGUGACAGGGACUCCUGCCCGUGUCUGCUCUCACCCUGCCCAUCCACACUGCACCCUGGAGGGUUGUUCCUGAAGGACUUCCUUGCCUGAAACCGAGGUGCCAAGGCAGCGACCGACUCUUUGGUGUGGCAUUCAAGGCCUUUCGUGAUUGGCCUCAUCUCUUUUUCCUGACAUCCUCCUGUGUUUCAACCGUCCUGGAACCAGGGUCACCUCCUGCCCUCCUUCCCACCUCACACGUCCUGGCCUCUGGGCCUUGCUUGCUCCCCGUGAUCUUCUGGCGGGACAUCCCUCCCUGCCCUCCCCGGGAUGCUCAGUACUUGCUGGGCACAGGAGUCCCUUCUUCAAGAGAAAUCUACAUGGAAUUGCAAUAUGAAAAACAGUAAAAGUGAUUGUUCAUUAUCGUACAUUUUUAUUUUGUAAGUUCAAACUGAAAGCAUUUGCUCAUCAUAAAGUCGAUCAGUGAGAACAGUGGCGCUUUCUUGGCGGAUGCAGACCAGACGGGGCUGGGCUGAUGGCUGCCAUCUCUUGCCAGCCUCAGCCUCCGGAUCAUUUCCCUACUAUGGUGUGCUGCUCAGUGUCCGGAAGUCCUGCCUCACGAAGAGUCCAUGUUUUCUGAGAGUCCUCCACUGAGAUACUGGGACAGCCGUCAGCUGAGAUGAGGAAAGGAGCCGUAGGAAUUCAAAGCCGAAUCUCUGACAAUAUCUGCCAACAGGAGGGCAGAGACAUCUUGUUUUUAAUUACAAAUAUGAAAGUCAGACAAAAAGCACCUCGGGCUUAAAAUAGACACUAAAGCGAAGGCUUGCUUGUUUACCUGCACACCACCUGGAGGGCCUGAGUGGCUGGGUCUGGGGAGCUAAGAACCCCCUCACACCACAUGCACGGCUCCCCUAUAAUCCCACGAGUCCACUCAAGUACUGGUUGUUGUGGGCACCAUGCUUUGGGAAAUGCAGACUACAAUGACGAUGCUACUAGAAAUAAUGGCAGGUGAAGGAUGUUUAUUGUCUUAGUAUCGAACAGGGACUGUGCUCAGCACUUUCUCACUCGGUCCUCACACCAACCUUAGAAAUGAUUUUUCUUCCCAUCCUUCAUUUGGGGAAAAUGAGGCUUUAGAAAAGGUUGUUUUUGGCCAUGAUCACACGGCUGGCUAAGUAGCAACGCUGGCACCAGGGCCGAGAUCUUGAACCCAGUGCCUCUAGAAGAUGGAUUACGACGUGCCGACCAGGCCUCCUUGACACACGGAAAUGUGGCAGCUUCUAGUGUGUGUGUGCAGCAGGCACCGUGGUUCUGCUAUGAGGAAGUUGGGGAAACAGGCUCUCUGCAACCAUGGCUUCCAUGGCCAGCACAGCCCACUCCCAGAACUGCUCUGCCUUUGCAGCAAGAAAAAUAAUCCACAGAUUGUGGAGAAGGAUCAGCUCAUUUGAACUCACGCGAGUAGUGUUCUUAGAACCCUCUGUAUAAACACAGAGAAUGUGUUUGCGCCUCACUGCCUACAAGCACACUUUGCUCACCGCGGGCUUCGAGUAGCACAGUUGCAAAGUGCAAAGUGACAGACACGGCCCCUGCCCUCCUAGAGCCUGGCCUACUUGGGGACAACCUGCGCUGGUCUAAGUGGACCCCCUGGGUGGUGGCAGAAGCAGGUUUCCAACUGGCUCCAGUUUCCAUGGACCUGGCUCUUCUGCCUGGUAUAGCCUCUUGCUGGAAUCUGGCGACAUGGGCUGAUAGGCAUCACGGCCGCAUAGCUCUGCACCAGAGAAGAGCCAUCUCGAUCUAGCAUUGUCUCCUUCUGGGAAAAUUCUAGGGAAUUUGCUGACCACUCCUGUGUAAGCAAGAGUGCCGUGCACUGGGAAACUCUGGAGAAGCUACCAAAAUGCAUUCUUUGAAUCCAUUGUGCUUCUAAGAGUUUGGAUGGCCAGGAAAAUAGAUGGAUUUCCCACGUGUCAUUUACAUGUCAGCCCUAAAGCAUAUUUUGGGAGUGCCUGUUUUCUGAUGAUGCUCAACCGGGGGCUGAAGCAGGCAGCUCCAUCCCUACCUUCCAGUCUUGGGGAAGAUAUUGCAAAGGCUGGGUAAGAGGGCAGGCGGCAGGUAGCCAAAAGGAUAUGCUUCCUCUCUCCUUCACUCCAGGGCCUGGACUAUGGGUGGCCUAGGCCAGUUGCAUGCAGCCAGGGCCAGUGUCCAGAAGGUCAUAUGCGCUUGAGAGCCGGCCAAGGGCAGCUUGGAUAAGUCUCGUCCAGGGCACUGUGUGCCAACCUGAGUGGGCCAGGGUAGCAGGGCUCCCAAUCUCUGUCCCUGGCACUGCCCUGGCCCAGGGGGGAGUUCCUCUCUGCUCACUGUGGUUGGGCUUGAGUGCCUGAGCUGUUGGCAACUUGUGGUCCACCGCUAGCCCCAUUUUGGGCAAUGUUGUUGCAGUAGAAGAGUAUCAUACACGAGAAUAGAAAGCCUUUGUAAGACUGAAACCAGAACAGAGCAAAGAGAGAAGUCUUCCUUUAACAUCACAGGAUGUUGAGAUAAUUCCCCUGCUCAGAGACCAGGUCCACAGUCCUUGCUUUUCCAGGUGUUGGUCACUUAUCUGCAGCCUUCUUUUCCAACCUUAGUAGCAGAGCCUAUGGCCCCGGCAACCUGACCCAGCUCUGGGCCUUUGCUCAGCUGUUUCUGUGAUGUCCCCAUCAGCUGCACCCAUGGGACUGCUUCUUCCUCAUCCUCCAAGGCCCUGGUGAAAGGCCUGCUCCUUGACAGUGCAGUCCUUGAGUCCCAGCAGCAUGAGGUCCCUCCAUCACCCGAUUCCUAUGGCACUCACCCUGUGUUCUUCCUGUGCUGUCGCCACACUUGGCCUUGUAAUGUCUUGUCCAUCCUAGCCGACUGGAGGUCCCUGAGCACAGACUCUGCUCACUCCCUAUCACAGCACCAAGCACACGCUGCUAUGCACAUGGACCGCUAUGCCUGCAACACACAUGUCCAGGGUGACUGGCUGGGGCCUGUGGCUCUCUCCAUUCCUAAUGCCUCCUGUGCAGACGUAGCAGGAGGUCCUACAGCAAACACUGACUUCAGUGCUCAUUGCCUUCUUCCACCAAAUCUGAAGGUGGGGGGAUGAGGUCUCGGGGGUUCAUCCUGGCCACCAGGCAGACAUCGUAACUGUCAUGCAUGAGGACAUCAAUGGCUACAACAUUCCACUGGUUUUCCCAUGGGUCUAGCUCCAGUAUUUCUUUGGAGAUAACUUCAUGUCGAUCUGAAAAAUAGCAAGGUAGGAAGACAAAAAUAUCAUGGGGGUAUUAAAUUCAGAGGCCAAUUUCACUCUAUUUAACAACUUCCUCUAAAAGGCAUCAAGUACCAAAAUGAAAAAACAACUGAAUAAGCAUACUUUAAAUGAAGGCACAAUGCCCCUGACAUAUAAGAAACUAACAAAGGCCAUGUUACAACUCACAUUCAGAAAUUAUUUGACAUACUAACAGGGUAUACUACUGUCUACAUUUGCUAAUUUAUUAAUGUUGGGAGCUACAGAUGAAAUUGUCCUAUUUCUACACCUGUAGGGGAGAUACAGCUUGUGACCUUGUAUGACUUGCUGACCUCCCUGAGUUUAUGUUUCCACAAAGGCAUACAGGGAUGCUAAUACUAAGCCAGGGUCUUUGCAGGAAACAGAUGGCUCACCCUAUCUGGAUGAUUUGAAGAGAAUUUAGUGAAGGGACUGUUGGAAAGGUGUGGGCAGGGUUCAAGAAGACCCACAAGGGAUGGUACAAUCCUCCAGGGCUAAGAACAUCAAGGGCUAUUACCACCCCUAGACCUGAGAGGCAGCAAGGGGAGAAAUAGGGACUGGCCUUGGGGAGGGCAGCUGUCUGGAGAGUGCAGCCUGGUUGCAGCAGACAUAGGUGGGGAAGAUGGAGCAGUCAUCCUCAGCAACCCCACAGGGAGGAGGCAGGGACAGGAAAUGCCCUGACUGUACCCUCCUUUCACCCAACAAUCUCUGCUCUUGCCUCCCAUUGGCUGAACUCAACCAGAAGCCAGAGGAGAAAGGUGUCUGUGAAUGCACCCAGUAUACGUCGGCUUCACAGGACAUAGAGCAUGACAGAGAAUGGGGCAGGGUGAGUCUGGAGGGGCAGAUGGAAGAUUCCUGGUCUGGAUGACUAUUUCAUAAUUUUAUGAUGAUCAGAGGAGAUAAUAUAUACAAAAGUGCCCAAUCCUGGCAUAUUAUCAAUUUUUGAAAAUGGUCCAUAUGUGCCUGUAAAGGAUGUGUAUUUUGUAGUUGUUGGUGCAAUGUCCCAUAUACACUCAUUGGGUCAUGUUAGCUAACACUUCCAUGUAUUUACUGGUUUUUGUGGGCUUGUUCUUCCAGGUACUGAGAGAGUUUUGUUAAAAUAUUCCGCUAAGAUUAUGGAUUUGUCUGUUUCUCCUUUUAGUUCUGUCAAUUUUUAGCAUACACAUUUUGAGUCUGUUAUUAAGUACAUAUAAAUUUUACCAUUUAUAAAUUUA